rnacentral:rRNA from 1 species
GAUGAACGCUGGCGGCGUGCCUAAUACAUGCCAGUCGAGCGAACAGACGAGGAGCUUGCUCCUUCGACGUUAGCGGCGGACGGGUGAGUAACACGUAGUUAACCUACUUAUAAGACUGGGAUCACUUCGGGAAACCGGAGCUAAUACCGGAUAAUAUUUCGAACCGCAUGAUUCGAUAGUGAAAGAUGGCUUUGCUAUAACUUAUAGAUGGACCUGCGCCGCAUUAGCUAGUUGGUAGGGUAACGGCUUACCAAGGCAACGAUACGUAGCAGUCCUGAGAGGCUGAUCCACCACACAUGAACUGAGACACGGUCCGGACUCCUAAGAGAGGCAGCAGGAUGGUAUCUUGCGCACUGGGCGAAAGCCUGACGGGGCGACGCCGCGGGAGUAGUGAAGGUCUCCCGAUCGUAAGACUCUGAUACUAGGGAAGAGCAAAAGUAUAAGCAACUGUGCAGGGCUGGACGGUACCGUAACAGAGAGGCACUGCUAGCUCCGUG